AAAGUUCUGGUCCCAGGCUUACUAUUAUUUAUUAUCAGAUUCAUACAUGCAAGCAUCCGCACCCCAGUGAGUAACAGCCCUUAUGUCUAAAAGAAUAAAGGAGCAGGCAUUAGGGUGCCCCCAAAGACGCCUAGCCUCCAAGCCACACCCACACGGGCAGACAGCAGUAGUAAACAUUUGGCCAUAAGCACCACCUAGCUUGACCAAGUCAUGAUUAACAAGGUCGGCAAACAGUCGUGCCAGCCGCCGCGGUUACACGAAGGACCUAAAAUAAUACAACCGGCAUAAAUAUGACUAAAAUUCCCCAAACAAUUAAGGACCAACUGAAACAACCUCGUGACAAGAGAACCUCAUGGAAACCCACCACAUAGACCUUAAAACACCUGGACUUUUGACUCAUGAAACCCUGGGUACAAACUAGGAUUAGAUACCCUACUAUGCCAGGGCAUAAACAUACACCCAAGCCAAGAGAGUACGAGCACUUGAAGCUUAAAACUUAAGAGACCUGGCGGUGCCCAAUACCAACCUAGAGGAGCCUGUCCCAUAACCGAUAGUCCACGAUAAACCCCACCAUUCCUAGCCAACCAGCCUAUAUACCGCCGUCGUCAGCCUACCUCCCAAGAUAGUAGGCGAAAUAGUAUUUUACCACAAAAACGACAGGUGAGGUGUAGCUUAUGAAAUGGAGUGAGAUGAGCUACAAUGUUUCUAAACCUACAGAACCUAAAAAUGAAAUACUUUAGAAGAAGAUGGAUUUAGUAGUAAGUGGAAUUCAGAAUCUUCCCCUGAAAUCAAGAAAUAAGGCACGUACACACUGCCCGUCACCCUCGUUGAUCUAUAGAGUAAAUGAGGCAAGUCGUAACACGGUAAGCGUACCGGAAGGUGUGCUUGGAAGAU
rnacentral:ncRNA from 1 species